rnacentral:rRNA from 1 species
GCACGAGCGCACCCCUUUCCUUAGUUGCCAGCACAUAAUGGUGGGGACUCUAAGGAUACUGCCCGGGAUAACCGGGAGGAAGGUGGGGAUGAUGUCAAGUCAGUAUGUCCCGUAUGUCCAGGGCUACACACGUGUUACAAUGGCCGGUACAAUGGGUUGCCAAACCGCGAGGUGGAGCCAAUCCCAAAAAACCGGUCUCAGUUCAGAUUGGAGUCUGCAACUCGACUCCAUGAAGCAGGAAUCGCUAGUAAUCGCGCAUCAGCACGGCGCGGUGAAUACGUUCCCGGGUCUUGUACACACCGCCCGUCACGCCAUGGAAGUCGGCAAUACCCGAAGCCGGUGACCUAACCCGCCUUUUGGCGGGAAGGAACCGUCGAAGGUAAGGCUGGUAACUGGGGCGAAGUCGUAACAAGGUAGCCGUACCGGAAGGUGCGGCUGGAUCACCUCCUUU